GUAGGGGGCAAGCGUUGUCCGGAUUUAUUGGGCGUAAAGCGCUCGCAGGUGGUGCGUCACGUCGUGCGUGAAAGACCCCGGCUCAACUGGGGAGGGUCGUGCGAUACGGGCGGACUGGAGGCCAGUAGGGGGAUGCGGAAUUCCGGGUGUAGUGGUGGAAUGCGUAGAGAUCCGGAGGAACACCAGCGGCGAAGGCGGCAUCCUGGACUGGUCCUGACACUCAGGAGCGAAAGCGUGGGGAGCGAUCCGGAUUAGAUACCCGGGUAGUCCACGCUGUAAACGAUGAGCACUAGGUGUCGGGGGUAUCGACCCCCUCGGUGCCGCAGCUAACGCGCUAAGUGCUCCGCCUGGGGACUACGGCCGCAAGGCUAAA
rnacentral:rRNA from 1 species